UAGGCCUAACACAUGCAAGUCGAACGGCAGCGCGGGUGCUUGCACCUGGCGGCGAGUGGCGAACGGGUGAGUAAUACAUCGGAACGUGCCCUAGAGUGGGGGAUAACUAGUCGAAAGAUUAGCUAAUACCGCAUACGAUCUACGGAUGAAAGUGGGGGACCGCAAGGCCUCAUGCUCCUGGAGCGGCCGAUGUCUGAUUAGCUAGUUGGAGGGGUAAAAGCCUACCAAGGCGACGAUCAGUAGCUGGUCUGAGAGGACGACCAGCCACACUGGGACUGAGACACGGCCCAGACUCCUACGGGAGGCAGCAGUGGGGAAUUUUGGACAAUGGGGGCAACCCUGAUCCAGCAAUGCCGCGUGUGUGAAGAAGGCCUUCGGGUUGUAAAGCACUUUUGUCAGGAACGAAACGGUGGGGGCUAAUAUCCUCUGCUAAUGAC
rnacentral:rRNA from 1 species